rnacentral:rRNA from 1 species
UACGUAGGGUGCGAGCGUUGUCCGGAAUUAUUGGGCGUAAAGAGCUCGUAGGCGGUCUGUCGCGUCUGCUGUGAAAACUCGGGGCUUAACCCCGGGCCUGCAGUGGGUACGGCAGACGUAGAGUGCGGUAGGGGAGACUGGAAUUCCUGGUGUAGCGGUGAAAUGCGCAGAUAUCAGGAGGAACACCGGUGGCGAAGGGCGGGUCUCUGGACAAC